ensembl:lncRNA
GCGGCACCGGGAGUGCUGGGGGUUCUGCGACGGUCGCCUUCGCCGCGGAGCCUGUGCCCUUCCCACCGCCGCCACCCCCAGGCACGUUGGGGCCGCCGCGCCUGGCCGCGCUCAAGGAUGAACCGCAGACGGUGCCCGACGUGCCGAGCUUCGGCGAGAGCCCGCCGCUGUCGCCCAUCGACAUGGACACGCAAGAGCGCAUUAAGGCAGAGCGCAAGCGGCUGCGCAACCGCAUCGCUGCCUCCAAGUGCCGCAAGCGCAAGCUGGAGCGCAUCUCGCGCCUCGAGGAGAAAGUGAAGACGCUCAAGAGCCAGAACACUGAGCUGGCGUCCACGGCGAGCCUGCUGCGCGAGCAGGUGGCGCAGCUCAAGCAGAAGGUCCUCAGCCACGUCAACAGCGGCUGCCAGCUGCUGCCCCAGCACCAGGUGCCCGCGUACUGAGCCCGCGCACGGGGCGCAUGCGCGGCCCCCUCCCAGAGAGGCGGGCUCGCGUGGGGGGGGGGCGUGGGCGCUCCGGACUCGGAGAGGGCGCCUCAGACUCGACAAGCUGGACCCCCUGCUCCCGGGGGGGUGAGCGCAUGACCUCCCCUGCCCCGCUCUUGCGCUGCCUUUAUCCCGGGCCGCGGUCACCCCGUGUUGCACAAACCCGCGCGUCCUGGCCGCCCCUUUGUACACACCACCGCCGAAGGAGGCUCCGAGGGGGCGCAGCCUCAAGCCCUGCGCUUCCUUUUUCUUUCACCCUUUUUUUUUUUUUUGACUUUGGAAGAGAGAAGAACAGAGUGUUCGAUUCUGCCCUAUUUAUGUUUCUNNNNNNNNNNNNNNNNNNNNNNNNNNNNNNNNNNNNNNNNNNNNNNNNNNNNNNNNNNNNNNNNNNNNNNNNNNNNNNAAAAAAAAAAACCCUCUCUCCCCCCCGUCCUCGCUCUCGCUUCCCCCUCCCCUUCCAUCCCUCCGACACCCCCUCCUCCCACCCUUUUUCCUCUGUUUGUUUUUCUGUUUUGUUUUGCUACGAGUCCACGUUCCUGUUUGUAAUCCUUGGUUCGCCCGGUGUUCUGUUUUCAGUAAAGUCUCGUUAACGCCAGCUCGGCUCCUCGCCUCCUUCUUCUCUCGCAGGGGCCUGACAGGGUGGGCGGGGCCUGGCCGAGUCCCCUCCGCUGCUGCCUCCUUCAGCUCCUCCCUCCGCCUCUGCUCGGAGGAGGCCGGACUCGGCGUCCGGGAAGAGCCUGCACAUCUGGCGCUCAGCGAGCGCCAUCUAGGCGCCCCUGGGCGCCGGGCCGACUCCAGUCGGCUUGGGUGGGGGACUUUGGAGUUUGCAACCUGCCUUUGGAAAUAGCCAGCCCGCGGGUGUCCCCUUUGCGUAGGAGGGACUGCGAGAGGGGAGCGGGGGCGGGGGGGCAACUCCAGCCCGAGACGGAGUGAAAGGCAGAAACGUGAAUUUUCCGGGCUGUUGUCUGCUUGUCUCUAAGAUGGGCAGAGCAAUCGUAAACUUGUCCCAUAAAGUGAGGAUUAAGAGAGUUAGUUUACAGAACAGGUCUUGGCUUACAGGUGGUGCUCAAUCUAAGCUUGUGUUAUCAUUUGUUGGAUGGGAAACCUGAAUCGCAGGACCAGAAGAAAGGCUGUCUUCCUCCAGGCCUGGGGUGUAGGUAGGUUCUGUGGGACCUCCCUGUUAGAGCACUAACUUGAAAUCCAGGAUUUUUCAAGUACUUUCUGAAACACCCCUCCACCAACAUCCUAUUCUCCCGUUUUGAAGAAACUAAGGUUCAGAGAGUUGAGUGACUGGCUUGAGGUCACAUACCCUUUUUAGGAGCCUGUGUGGGGAUGUAUGGACCUUGGACCUCUCAUCUCCAGAGCCUUGACUGCCAGGUUCCCCUCUUCCCCUGUCUGUUCUGACCUUUCGUAUUGUGGGGGCAAAAGACCCCAGACCUUGGGCUUCUGCCCAACUUGGGGUCCCUAGGGCCUUGAGCUUUGGUGGCCAACAACACAGGGCAAGUGAGUUUUGAACUCCAGUUGUGUACCCAACCCUGCUAGGGAAGGUGGGCAAAUAUGCCUGUUUUACAGAUGAGGAAACAGAUGCAGAGAAGGAAGGUCUUGUGCCCACAGUCCCCCUUGGCCAUCAAAAGAGAGGGGCCUCUACCUACAAGUUUAUUUUUCCUCCAGGUCACCCUGGCUGCCCACUUUUCAAGGCUUUGAGAGCUGCUGUUUUAACCAUGUGACCUCUCCUUGGUACCAUCUUCAGGCAGACGUUUUAGGAGAGGGGCCUGGAGUGAGAAGAGGGCUGGUAACUGAGCUUGGGGUAUCCACACAGAGGGGACCAAGAAGAACCAUGCCCGGGGGCAGAGCCUCACUCUUCGGAAGACUUGGGUCCCAGCCUGAAUGCCAGUGUGCGGUGACCCUCAGCCGAGUUCCCUUCCUGCUCUGGCCUUGAUCUCCUGUGCUGUGAAAAAGGAUGUUUCCUGUGUCCAG